AAUAGAUACCCGGGUAGUCCACGCCGUAAACGAUGAGUGCUAAGUGUUAGAGGGUUUCCGCCCUUUAGUGCUGCAGCUAACGCAUUAAGCACUCCGCCUGGGGAGUACGGCCGCAAGGCUGAAACUCAAAGGAAUUGACGGGGGCCCGCACAAGCGGUGGAGCAUGUGGUUUAAUUCGAAGCAACGCGAAGAACCUUACCAGGUCUUGACAUCCUCUGCCAACCCUAGAGAUAGGACGUUCCCCUUCGGGGGACAGAGUGACAGGUGGUGCAUGGUUGUCGUCAGCUCGUGUCGUGAGAUGUUGGGUUAAGUCCCGCAACGAGCGCAACCCUUGAUCUUAGUUGCCAGCAUUCAGUUGGGCACUCUAAGGUGACUGCCGGUGACAAACCGGAGGAAGGUGGGGAUGACGUCAAAUCAUCAUGCCCCUUAUGACCUGGGCUACACACGUGCUACAAUGGAUGGUACAAAGAGCUGCGAACCCGCGAGGGUAAGCGAAUCUCAUAAAGCCAUUCUCAGUUCGGA
rnacentral:rRNA from 1 species